rnacentral:rRNA from 1 species
GACGAACGCUGGCGGCGUGCCUAAUACAUGCCAGUAGAACGCUGAAGGAGGAGCUUGCUUCUCUGGAUGAGUUGCGAACGGGUGAGUAACGCGUAGGUAACCUGCCUGGUAGCGGGGGAUAACUAUUGGAAACGAUAGCUAAUACCGCAUAAGAGUAGAUGUUGCAUGACAUUUGCUUAAAAGGUGCAAUUGCAUCACUACCAGAUGGACCUGCGUUGUAUUAGCUAGUUGGUGGGGUAACGGCUCACCAAGGCGACGAUACAUAGCCGACCUGAGAGGGUGAUCGGCCACACUGGGACUGAGACACGGCCCAGACUCCUACGGGAGGCAGCAGUAGGGAAUCUUCGGCAAUGGACGGAAGUCUGACCGAGCAACGCCGCGUGAGUGAAGAAGGGUUUCGGAUCGUAAAGCUCGGUUGUAAGAGAAGAACGAGUGUGAGAGUGGAAAGUUCACACUGUGACGGUAUCUUACCAGAAAGGGACGGCUAACUACGUG